CCUACGGGCGGCUGCAGUGGGGAAUUUUGGACAAUGGGCGCAAGCCUGAUCCAGCCAUGCCGCGUGCGGGAAGAAGGCCUUCGGGUUGUAAACCGCUUUUGUCGGGGAAGAAAAGCGCCGUUCUAAUACAGCGGCGUCAUGACGGUACCCGAAGAAUAAGCACCGGCUAACUACGUGCCAGCAGCCGCGGUAAUACGUAGGGUGCGAGCGUUAAUCGGAAUUACUGGGCGUAAAGCGUGCGCAGGCGGCUUUGCAAGACAGAUGUGAAAUCCCCG
rnacentral:rRNA from 1 species